rnacentral:rRNA from 1 species
UACGUAGGGUCCGAGCGUUGUCCGGAAUUAUUGGGCGUAAAGAGCUCGUAGGCGGUUUGUCGCGUCUGCUGUGAAAACUGGAGGCUCAACCUCCAGCCUGCAGUGGGUACGGGCAGACUAGGAGUGGCGGUAGGGGAGAUUGGAAUUCCUGGUGUAGCGGUGGAAUGCGCAGAUAUCAGGAGGAACACCGAUGGCGAAGGCAGA